UGGGGAAUAUUGGACAAUGGGGGCAACCCUGAUCCAGCAAUGCCGCGUGUGUGAAGAAGGUCUUCGGAUUGUAAAGCACUUUCGACGGGGACGAUGAUGACGGUACCCGUAGAAGAAGCCCCGGCUAACUUCGUGCCAGCAGCCGCGGUAAUACGAAGGGGGCUAGCGUUGCUCGGAAUGACUGGGCGUAAAGGGCGUGUAGGCGGUUUACACAGUCAGAUGUGAAAUCCCCGGGCUUAACCUGGGAGCUGCAUUUGAUACGUGUAGACUAGAGUGUGAGAGAGGGUUGUGGAAUUCCCAGUGUAGAGGUGAAAUUCGUAGAUAUUGGGAAGAACACCGGUGGCGAAGGCGGCAACCUGGCUCAUGACUGACGCUGAGGCGCGAAAAGCGUGGGGAGCAAACAGGGUUAGAUACCCUGGUAGUCCACGCUGUAAACGAUG
rnacentral:rRNA from 1 species